CCUACGGGUGGCAGCAGUGAGGAAUAUUGGUCAAUGGGCGGAAGCCUGAACCAGCCAAGUCGCGUGAGGGAAUAAGGCCCUACGGGUCGUAAACCUCUUUUGCCGGGGAGCAAGAGCGGGGACGUGUCCCUGCCCGGAGAGUACCCGGAGAAAAAGCAUCGGCUAACUCCGUGCCAGCAGCCGCGGUAAUACGGGGGAUGCGAGCGUUAUCCGGAUUUAUUGGGUUAAAGGGGUGCGUAGGCGGGCUCUUAAGUCAGCGGGAAAAGUUCGGGGCUCAACCGCGUCCGGCCGUUGAAACUGGGGGCCUUGAGUGGGCGAGAGGAAGGCGGAAUGCGUGGUGUAGCGGUGAAAUGCAUAGAUAUCACGAAGAACCCCGAUUGCGAAGGCAGCCUUCCGGCGCACUACUGACGCUGAGGCACGAAAGUGCGGGGAUCGAACAGGAUUAGAUACCCGGGUAGUC
rnacentral:rRNA from 1 species